rnacentral:rRNA from 1 species
UACGGAGGGUGCGAGCGUUAAUCGGAAUUACUGGGCGUAAAGCGUGCGUAGGCGGUUGUCUAAGUCAGAUGUGAAAGCCCCGGGCUCAACCUGGGAACUGCAUUUGAAACUGGGCAGCUAGAGUUUGGUAGAGGAAGGUAGAAUUCCUGGUGUAGCGGUGAGAUGCGCAGAUAUCAGGAGGAACACCAAUUGCGAAGGCAGCUCGCUGGGACGUUACUGACGCUGAGACGCGAAAGCGUGGGGAGCAAACAGG